AUUCUAUUCUGUUUGAAUAAUAUUCUUUUCUAUUCUCUAGAAGGACUUUUUGUUUGUUUGUUUUGGCUUUAAAAAAUUCAUGCCAACAGGUGCCUGGGUGGCUCAAUCGGUUAAGCAUCCUACUCUUGAUUUCGGCUCAGCUCAUGAUCUCAGGGUUGUGAGAUCGAGCCUUGUGUUGGGCUCCAUGCUGGGCAUGGACCCUGCUUAAGAUUCUCUCUCUCUCUCUCUCCCCUUCCGUUCUUCCCCCCUCCCCCAGCUUGUGGCAAUCUCUCUCUUAAAAAAAAAAAAAAAAAAAAAAAAUCAUGUCAAUAUUUCAGAAGGUAAAUUCCCUAAUGGAUAUAAAAUUCUUUCUGAGUUAGAAGGUUCUAUUCUUCAUACAACUUUUUCUUAAAUUACAUCUUUUGUUUAAAGAAAACAAGUAAGGAAUGCAUAAUACAAAGAAAUGAAUUCAGCAAGCAAUCACACUGACUCAGUUUCCCUUUGCAGAUGACCCUGUAGGAGCUGGUGGGAAUGAAACCACUCUGCUUCCUGCACUUUCGCACACAGCAUGGGCAAGAGCAUAGACAACACUGUGUGGGUUUAUUCCAGAGGGAGACGUCUACUUGUCUGCUGUUUUCCUUUGUGUGAAGACAAUGACAACGGUUGAAAUUACAGGAUAGACUAUGAGAAGUUAAAUAAUGCCACGAAAUCCCUGAGUCUUCUUUAUUCUAUUCGAAAAGAUGAAUAAACAGAUGUGAAAUCAUCCGUGGGCUAAGAUGAAAACAAGAAUUGAGGGAAAUUUAACAUUUUUUUUUCUCUGAAAAAGAAAUGGCCAUCAUUUCUUCUUAUUUAAUGUAAACAUAACGACUGCUUAUGGCAAAAAUUUGAACACAGGGAAAUAUAGAAGGGGGAGGCACCCAAAGGAUACCCCAUGAACAUGAUUUUGUGGAGAGUGUCCUGUGUGGGUGAAUCACACUAAGACCUCGAGGGGGCAAAGCCUGUCUGCACCCAGGGGCCCAGCUCCCGGAUCUCCCGGUGCUGUAGUGAGCAGCGGAUAGAACUGUGGGGAACCCACAGAUGCCCAGGUCCCAGUGAGGUCAGGAAACAGUGUUCAAAGACCAAGAGGACUGGCCGCAGGCUCUGUGCUGGUGCCCCACUGGUUCUGUCUCCUGCUCACCCUGUCCUCGCAAUGAUCUUGAGAACGAUAGGCAUCAGCCUCGUUUCCUUAGAUGGGAGGUCCAUGCUUAGGGGAGUCCAGCUGUCUGUGCAGGAGACAAAGUUGGGAAGGGUGUUCAAGCCCAUUUGGCUCUUGUCCUGCCAGGCUUAUCUACCUCCCUGCAAAGGUGAUGCCAGUGCUCUCAGGAUAAGCUGGGUCUCCGUGCCCUGCCCUCCCCACCCCCCAUAGCAUGCCUUGGGUAAGAGAAGUGUCCUUUCACGGGACAGUGUGUUUUAUCACAAGAGCCACCAGGUGUCUCUCUGACCAAAACAACCUCCUAGUCUGCUGCACGAUCCCAAAUUCUCUUAAUCUUUUUUUUUUUUUUUUUUUUUCUUGACGCAUCUGGAAAUUCAAAUAAAGCUCAUCGUAAUGUGAAUGGGAGAUGGGACAGAAGGAUGGACUUAAUGUCACUUCAAGUAUGGUUGCCUAAAGAAUAUACGAAUCCUUGAUUGACGAGAACAAUCUUGCUGUCCUAUUUCUGAUGACCCAGCCUCAGGGACUAAAUCUAUCCCCAGCGCAGAGGUGUGGUGUUUCUGUCUCCGAGUGGGGCGGGCCGUCACGUCCCAUGGAUUCAGUCACAGGAUAACCUGCCUUUAAUCAUCCCCUGCGGGGUGGGGGCAGGGAGAGGAAAUUAUUUUCUGGAGGAAUACAGGUAUGUUAUAAACUUCUGUUUUCUCCUUCCUGUUAAAUGCUCAGAAUGAAAGCUAAAAUUCCCAAGACCUUAGAAUCCAGCAAAAUUUUGAGUGCAGAGAGGGGAUCCUGGGAAGAUUGCUGGUGCCAGCCUUGGCUCCUCCUGGUCUCAAACCCUCUCACAGGAUUGUGAAGACCGGCAACAGGCCGCCUUCCCUCCCAGGAACUGUUAAGAAAAGCUAAAGGUGUGGGGUGGAGAGUCCCAUAGCAACUUUCAUGGCUCUAAUCUCUCGAUGGUCGCCCUGGGUGGCCCUGGGCUGCCCUGGGCAAGGAUGCUAAAAGGCAGGGGAGGCAACGGACUUGCCCAUCUGGGGUCACAGGCUUCAUGAAGAAAGGGUGAUGUCUGGACUCGACAAGACAGGAAGCUUCUCCUCUUUCCCACCUCACCCCAGACUGGAGUGGGCCUGAUGUUCCUUCCUUCGCUCAGCUGGAGGACUGCUGCUUCCCGAAGCAGGCACAAAGCGGACACCCACCCAGAAAUAAGGCCCAACUGGAUACCCAUGGGCUAGGGCGUGCCUUUGGAAGGAGCUGCACCUGCCAGGAAACGGAAGCACCCCCUGGCUUCUGAGCUCUGCGGGAAGAUGGGCUGAGGGCCCAGUGGGAAGGGGGGUGCUUUCCCUCCCUACCCCCCCCGCCCCCACCUCUCCCCUUCCCUCUCUUUUCCUUUUUCUCCUCUUCCCCCCUCCCUUCUUCCCACCCCCCUCCCUUUUUUUCUUGUCUUUUUUUCUCUUGUUCUUUUCUUCUUUCUUUUUAACAGUUUUGGAGUUGUUUGUGUCACAGGAUUCUUUCAAGUCCUGGUCCUCAGUCCUCAACCCCAGCCACAGGACAGGCUGAGUGGGGGCUGCUACCCACUUUGAAGAGGCACUGCCUGCACAGACCCCCAAGACAAGGUGUUCUGGCCGAUGCCUUUCCACAACCUCAGUGUGGAUCUGACACCGCUGAUUGUGCAUUUGUUUCUCCUGACAUUAACAGUCCACCAAUUCCACUGCUGCCCCAGGUGGCCAUGACCGGGGAUGGUGAGGCCGUGUUGGGUGCACAUAGCCAGUUCUUCACUGGCCCAUUCGUAUCUGAUUUCUUGAGACCUCUUACCGAAUGGCUUGGCUGCAAGGCCUCUACAAGAGGGAAGCAGGCCUGAGUCACAGCCCAGCGUGCAGAGUCUAAAACCAGAGUUGAUUGUCCCUCUACUCCUGCUGGCAUCGGUGGGCUGCAGUGCAGAAUUGGCCAGCACAGAGGCGUGUCCAAGAAAGUCGCCCAGUCAGCUCCACACCAGGAGAUAUGCCACCACCUGAAUCUGGUCAAGGCUUCAAAGACCCCGCUCCAUCCCCCCAAUACCGUAUCGUACGGUAGACGGAACAAUGGCCCCAUUGAUGUAUACACCCUUAUCUUCAAACCCUGUGACUGUCACCUUACAUGGGACUCUGAAAAUGUGGUGGAGUUAAGGAUCUUGAGAUGGGGAGAGUCCCUGAUCCCGCAGGUAGGUCAGGGUCAUUGCAAGUGGAAGACAGGAAGAGCAGGGUUAGAGAGAUGUGAAGAUAGAAGCAGAGGUUGGGGUGAUGUGCUCGAACCUGGAGGGUGGUGCCUCAAACCGAGAAAUGAAGGUGGCCUCAGGAAGCUGGAAAAGGCAAGGGAGUGGAUUCUUCCCUCGCACCUCCAGAAGGACCCACCCCGGCCAACAUCUUGAUCUUGGCCCAUAAAACAUAUUUUGGGCUUCUAACCUCCAGAAUCGUAAGAUAAUAAAUUUGUGCCUUCUAAGCCA